UCCUGGUUUCUUGUUUGAGAUUUCCUGGCUUCUGACCUGAUGCAUGUAUUUGACUUCAGCUUGGCUCAUCCUUGUUAGGUUGAUUCCCUGGAUCCUGACUUCCUGCCUGUUUGACUCUGCCUGGCUUAGCUCACCACUGUUGGAGGGAUUACCUGGCUUUCAACCUCUGGCUUGUAUUUGACUCUGGACUAGCUCGGCCCCAGGCAGGUGCUCCUUGCUUCUGACUUGCCUGGUGGACUGACUUGCCUGGUGGACACACCUGCCCUGGCCAGACAUGACAAGCGAGAGUUCCAAGAUUGCUCCCAUUGCAUGCACCCCUGAAAUUUUUUGGCACGUUUACACUGCCCUGCCCUCGUGUGCUGAACCUGUGCCUGCCUCAGACUCCUUCUCGGACCUAGUAACAGAAGGAGUUCAGGCUGCAUCAUGAACCUGGAUCCAGGAACACCCCUCCCCCUCCCCAACUGGGGGAUGAGGCAGAUACUUCAGGGGAUGAGACAAAGUGGAAAGACCCUAAGGUCCAGACCUCAGGCAACCCUGUGCUUCUGGAACUCUCCACACCCAAACAAGGGAUACUUGAGCCACCACCUCCACCCGAAGGCAGAUCCUUGCCUUCAUCCUCUGGCUUGGAGGCAGAAAAAUAGAAAUACAGUUCAAAAGUUAUAUUAAGGAUAUAUGGGAUACAGAAUGCAAAAGUUCAAUUAGGCAAGGCAAUAAAUCUUGGUUGAUGUUCUGGGCAAGAGUAAAGCUGGCAAUAAUUUAGUGUGAAGUCCUAAGUGGUUGAACAUUUGGAAAUGCAAACCAGUUACUUCCUCCUCGGCCCAAAUUAAGGAGAACUUUCUCAGAGUUUUUCAUCGAUGAUACCUGACCCCAGUAAAAUUAGCAUACAUUCAUAAAGACUAUUCCCCACUUUGGUGGAAUGGUUGUGGGAUGAAGAGAACCUAUUUUCAUCUUUGGUGGACCUGCCCCAGGGUCUUACACUUUUGGUCAGAGGUAUUCAUGGAGAUGAGUAAGAUCACAAAUCAGAAAAUAGGAUUAUGCCCCCUGCUGGCAUUAGUAAAUAUAUUUUCUGGGGUCAAUACAGAUGUGUCAUUAAAAAAAAAAGUGGUAUUUAUGGUAACUGCUGCCAGGUUAGCUAUAGCCAAGCACUGAAAAAACCAUGUUGAUGGAUAUCUGGCAUAAGCCUCUAUGGAAUAUCAUAAUCUCAGAAAAGUUAACCCAUAUUAUUCGGUUCCGUGCAAACCAGACCACAAAUAACUCUUUUUAUUCUUUAUACCAAUUGGAAGAAUUAUGGUUGUCUUCUUACCCCAGAUGAUAUUAGAAUGUGGAUGGAUUGAUGAAUCUGGUUUUGUCGUAUGAUAUUUUGCUGUUUGUGUUUGGAUUAAUUUUGUUCUGCACUGUAAAUUUUAUUCUAAUAAAGUUGGCGGAGGGAGUCCUAA